rnacentral:rRNA from 1 species
AUUGAACGCUGGCGGCAGGCCUAACACAUGCAAGUCGAACGAGUGGCGGACGGGUGAGUAAUGUCUGGGAAACUGCCCGAUGGAGGGGGAUAACUACUGGAAACGGUAGCUAAUACCGCAUACCAUCGGAUCUGCCCAAAUGGGGUUAGCGAGUAGGUGGGGUAACGGCUCACCUAGGCGACGAUCCCUAGCUGGUCUGAGAGGAUGAGCAGACACACUGGAACUGAGACAAGGUCCAGACGUCUACGUGAGGCAGCAGUGGGGAAUAUUGCACAAUGGGCGAAAGCCGGAUGCAGCCAUGCCGCGUGUAUGAAGAAGGCCUUCGGGUUGUAAAGUACUUUCAGCGAGGAGGCGUUACUCGCAGAAGAAGCACCGGCUAACUCCGUGCCAGCAGCCGCGGUAAUAC